UCGUUCUUCAGAGCUGUAGUGACAUGUAGUCUUUUUAAUAUUCAUAUCACAGCCAGCUUUGAGGAGCGAUA
rfam:Glossina fuscipes fuscipes unplaced genomic scaffold Scaffold3, whole genome shotgun sequence.